rnacentral:rRNA from 1 species
GGUACCAUCAGGUCUCCCGACCUAUUGAUCGAGAGCUUUUUUUCCCUACUUGACAGAGCUUUACGACCCGAAAGCCUUCUUCACUCACGCGGCGUUGCUGCGUCAGGGUUUCCCCCAUUGCGCAAAAUUCCUC